GGGCGAUUAGCUCAGCUGGCUAGAGCGCUUCCUUUACACGGAAGAUGUCGGGGGUUCAAAUCCCUCAUCGCCUACCA
rnacentral:tRNA from 1 species